rnacentral:rRNA from 1 species
UACGUAGGUGGCAAGCGUUGUCCGGAUUUACUGGGUGUAAAGGGCGUGCAGCCGGGAGUGCAAGUCAGAUGUGAAAUCCCGCGGCUCAACCGCGGAACUGCAUUUGAAACUGUGCUUCUUGAGUGCUGGAGAGGCAGACGGAAUUCCUAGUGUAGCGGUGAAAUGCGUAGAUAUUAGGAGGAACACCAGUGGCGAAGGCGGUCUGCUGGACAGUAACUGACGGUGAGGCGCGAAAGCGUGGGGAGCAAAUAGG